GACGAACGCUGGCGGCGUGCUUAACACAUGCAAGUCGAACGGAAAGGCCCUGCUUUUGUGGGUUGCUCGAUUGGCGAACGGGUGAGUAACACGUGAGUAACCUGCCCUUGACUUUGGGAUAACUUCAGGAAACUGGGGCUAUUACCGGAUAGGAUCUCCUGCUGCAUGUUGGGGGUUGGAAAGUUUCGGCGGUUGGGGAUAGACUCGCUGCUUAUCCGCUUGUUGGUGUGGUAGUGGCUUACCAAGGCUUUGACGGGUAGCCGGCCUGAGAGGGUGACCGGCCACAUUGGGACUGAGAGACGCACCAGACUGCUACGGGAGGCAGCAGUGGGGAAUAUGGCACAAUGGGCGGAAGCCUGAUGCAGAAACGCCGCGUGCGGGAUGACGGCCUUCGGGUGGUAAACAGCUUUCGCAGGUGACGAAGCGUGAGUGACGGUAAUGGGUAAAAAAGCAACGGCUAACUACGUG
rnacentral:rRNA from 1 species